rnacentral:RNase_P_RNA from 1 species
CGAGGCGGACGGGUGACCGCCGGCGAAGUAAAUAGCGUUGGAGGAAAGUCCGGGCUCCAAAGAGCAGGGCGCUGGGUAACACCCAGUCGGGGCGACCCGAAGGAAAGUGCCACAGAAAAUAACCGCCCGGCAGCGGCUAUAUCCGGAGAGCAGCUGUCAGGUAAGGGUGAAAAGGUGGGGUAAUAGCCCACCGGCGGCCGGGUGACCGGCCGGCCAGGUAAACCCCG